CUGGAGGGGAUAGCUGCCCACAGUCCAACUGGAUGUGAUAAAGGUUAGGGCAGCGGUGCUGAGAACAGAGGGAGAAAUUACGUUUGCAAGUUAUACUGACUCUUCCCCCUCUUCCGAGACAGGGUUUCUCUGUGUGGCUCUGGAUGUCCUAGAACUCCCUCUGUAGACCAGGCUGGCCUUGAACUCAGAGAUCCAUUUGCCUCUGACUCCCAAGUUCUGUGAGUAAAGGUGUGAUUCAUACUGACUGUUUUUACUUUGAAGAUUUUGUUUUUACUUAUAUGCUAAUGUAAUGUAUGCUAAAUGUGUGUAGUGACCACAGGGCCCAGAAGACACUGGAUCCUCUGGAGCCAGAGUCACAGGUGGUUGUGAACUGCCUGACAUAGGUUCAUCAUGCUGUGACCCAAACUCAGGUUCUCUGGAAGGCUAGGACACACUUUUAACCACUGAAUAAAAUCUCCGGCCCUAAACUGGUUGGUUUUGAAAAAAGUCUAUGGCCUAUUAAAAAUACACAUAGCUUAAAAAAAAUACAAGUAGUCAGCACUGGAAAUUACUGGAGCCAUACCUGCCCUACCAGCAACUAAACAGUAAAAUAACACGAAGCAAGACAACUACAGUACAACGGGAAGGAACAAGCGUAGCCACUGGGGAUGUAGGGGAGAACCACGCAGAAGCAGAGCACCUCGGAACCAUUUGGAUGCCAAACCAAGCAGCAAGAUCUUUCUCAAAAACAGGACUAACAUUUUAGUAGCUAUAAAGAGCUUUGUCAAAUUUCUCUUCUACUUUCUUUGUAUCAUCUGGAUGGUAAUUAUACAAUUUUUUUUUUUUUGUAGAACCUAGAACUUUUACUCUCGGGAAAUCCCAAAGCUGUUGUCUUUGUGCCACACCCAGUGCCUGACACACAGCAGGAGCCUGGAUGGUCAAUGGCUGCCUUAGUCUAAGACUGUGAAGGCAGAGUAAAGGACGAAGAGGACAGGAAAGGCGUCAGUGCUACGUAAGUGUCAGGGAGAGAGAACUAUCGAGAUCUCUGACACAGUGCUUGGAUCUCUUAGCAGCUGUAGCAGAGCUGCCUUAAGGCCUCAGGUAGUCUGCUUGGGAACAGACACUAACAGCAUCAACCUUCCAGUACCCUGGGAAGUGUUCAGUGCAGCACCUGAUGAACAGGAAGUGCUCAACAGCUGUUAAAGGCAAGGCUGCGCUGGUCACAGAGCCUAAAGCUUAGCUUCAUCACUGGCCAAAGGGAGAAAGGACUUGAAGGAAAAGUUUCCCAUGUCACCUUUGCUAAAAUUGACAGUAUUCAUGCUGUAUCAAUUAAAAAACAUCAAUAUAGUCAAAGGCUUAAACUAUAAAUGAUUUCUCAAGCAUAGCUAAACAUGGUUUUCUGCUUACCAUUACUGAUGUUUUUACAAAUGUCUACGAUGCCUCCAGAAUGAUCUCGGUGCCAGUGAGUCACCAGAAUUUCCUGGAUUGCGGUGUCAAACUCAGCCAAGGCCUGCUUUAAACAGCUGAUAUAUUCUGGAACUGAUGGCUCUCCCGUGUCAAUGAGGAUUCUCCUACAAACGACAGGGAGGACGAUCACGUCGGAACCUGUGGCUCACAUUAGCAUUCCUUUACGUAGAUAACUUGCAUUAAAUUAAAGAAAAUACAAACUUUUGCUUUGAACAUAUUGCUUCAGUUUAAAGCAGUAUUUUCCUGUAAGAUAGUUCUUGGAAAGAAACUAUGGCUAAAUGUAAAUGUGAACUGCGGUCGGAAGGGACCUCGGGCACCUGAGUAGCAGUUACAGUUCACACAGCACCAUUAGGAGCUCUUUCUCAGGCCUUUUGUCUUACGUUCGGAGGUUAAAUGACUUGCCUAGGGUUACUCUGCAGUAAAAUGGUAGGAUCAGCACUCACUCUGAUAUGCUGACACCAGAGUAUGUGCUCUUAUGAAUUCUGCCCACCAAAUGGGUUAUAAAUCCAAGGACUAGAAUUUAUCACACCCUUAAAGACAUGUGGUCUCAUCUGUGGAUGAAACAGCAUGUGCCGGUUGUUGUUAAGCUCAUGGUGCUUUAGUAAAUUGCAGGCUGUACAUUGUCCUCCUAUAACCAUAGCUUCACCAGCACUGAGAUGGUAGCUAGGUUUCCAGUUCCAGGCACAGCAUUCCUCUUGUUGAGUGGCUUUACACCCACAGAUAAACACCCCUCAUCCAGCAAACUGCUCUUCUCCACAGACGGGGACCACGACAGAAACCACAACCAAUGGAGACAGAGUCCUGGAGCCCAGCCCCACGCCCCCAUGGCAGGCUCAGGGAACACUGUGGAAGACAGAGUGGGAAGACUGUAGUAGCUUCCCGUGAGAAUUUAUCUCCUAGUAACGUCAGAGCUACACCUCACAAAGUCUCACCACUCUACCACCCAAACACGGGCUGAACAAAGGUGACACCAAUAGCCAUGAACAACUGGAUGAGGAAAGCCCAUGAGGCUUCAGCCCAACAUAACUAUAGGCAAGUGAGGAGAGCUGGGCACCGAGAGGUGGUCUUCUCCAGGGAAGAAAACAUUAACUGGCUGUCCAGUGCCACGCAGCCUGAAAACACACAUAGGAGUAUAUUACAGAAACUGAACAGAUUAUACUUAGGAGUACACAGGUGUAUAUAUACAUAUAUGCAUGCUAUAACAA